GGGGAAUAUUGCACAAUGGGCGCAAGCCUGAUGCAGCGACGCCGCGUGGGGGAUGAAGGCCUUCGGGUUGUAAACUCCUUUCGCUAGGGACGAAGCUUUUUGGUGACGGUACCUAGAUAAGAAGCACCGGCUAACUACGUGCCAGCAGCCGCGGUAAUACGCAGGGUGCGAGCGUUGUCCGGAAUUACUGGGCGUAAAGGGCUCGUAGGUGGUUUGUCGCGUCGUCUGUGAAAUUCUGGGGCUUAACUCCGGGCGUGCAGGCGAUACGGGCAUAACUUGAGUGCUGUAGGGGUAACUGGAAUUCCUGGUGUAGCGGUGAAAUGCGCAGAUAUCAGGAGGAACACCGAUGGCGAAGGCAGGUUACUGGGCAGUUACUGACGCUGAGGAGCGAAAGCAUGGGUAGCGAACAGGAUUAGAUACCCUGGUAGUCCAUGCCGUAAACGGUGGGCGCUAGGUGUGAGGGUCUUUCUACGACUUUCGUGCCGUAGCUAACGCAUUAAGCGCCCCGCCUGGGGAGUACGGCCGCAAGGCUA
rnacentral:rRNA from 1 species